ACCACUAUUAGGAGAAUUAUGGUAAUAGGAAAUGCUAGAGCCAAAACACCAGGAAGCCAACUAGGGGAAAAUACUGGAUCUUGCACUCCUCCCGCCCUACCCUACUUCCUGUUCCCUUUUCAACUGUCUUGAAGUUCUUCUCAGAAAUGAUAAUGAGAGGACUCCUGGUGGAGAGAUGAACCCCUUUCAGUUCACCUAUAAAAUGAGGAUAAGGAUACUUCUGCUACUUAAAAAGAUCAAAUGAGCUAAUUUAUAUAAGAUAAACAACUUCCUUCUUUAGAGACAGCUUCCACAUUCUACCCACAGAAGACAGAGAAGAAUAUUGGAUCUUUUUAUUUUGAUGACAAUUAAUCAAAAUGACCUACUGGACCUCAGGGUGCAGGAGCCUGGCUGAUAUCACUAGGUUACCUGUCUCUUGGACCCUGGAGUGACAAAGAAAAAAAUUAAAAACAUUCCAUAACUUGAAAGCCCAAGUGGUUGACAUUUCCACCAUCAAGGUUAUCCCAGUUUUAAAGUUGAGACAUGUUUUACACUGUUGCUAUGCUAUAUAAAUAAAUAUGUAAAAUUUAAAAUUAUAUUCCUACUAAUAAAAAUAUUAUAUUUUAUGAGGUUUAUUAAGGAUUAUAUAAAAUCAAGGAAUAUGAAAAUACAAAAUAAGAAAACCACAUGCCUAGGGCUGAUUAGCCCACUCAGCUUACUUACU